GUAAAUUGUCUGUGAUUGAUGUAGUAUCUUGAGAUACUGGUGUCUGAGAUACUGUCCUAGACUGUGGGGUGGUUGUGGGUGUUUGGGGCCCAUUUGCCGGUGUCUUGUAACCAGGAGUUCCUGUGUGGGCUGGAGAAGGAGUAUAGCUGGCUCGCAGGGCUUUGUCAGUGUAUUUACUUGCAGUCCUGUUCACUAGUCGUUGCAAAGCUGGUGACAUUGCUGGGCUUAGUCCUUUUGGAGUGAGGCUGGCCAAGUUUUCUGUGACUUUUCGAAGUGCCUCCUGCUUCUUUGCUCUGUUUUUAGCUGCCACUUCAUUGGCCAUCUUGAG
rnacentral:lncRNA from 1 species